GGGGUUGUGGCUCAGUGGUAGAGUACUCGCCUAGCACGUGUGACACCUUGGGUUUGAUCCUCAGCACCACA
rnacentral:tRNA from 1 species